rnacentral:rRNA from 1 species
ACGGGUGCGUAACGCGUAUGCAACCUACCUUUUACUGGGGGAUAGCCUUCCGAAAGGGAGAUUAAUACCGCAUAACAUAGCGGCGUGGCCUCACGCUGCUAUUAAAACUCCGGUGGUAAAAGAUGGGCAUGCGUCCGAUUAGCUAGUUGGCGGGGUAGUGGCCCACCAAGGCGACGAUCGGUCGGGGACCUGAGAGGGCGAUCCCCCACACUGGCACUGAGAUACGGGCCAGACUCCUACGGGAGGCAGCAGUAGGGAAUAUUGGGCAAUGGCCGCGAGGCUGACCCAGCCAUGCCGCGUGCAGGAAGAAGGCGCUACGCGUUGUAAACUGCUUUUCUUGGGGAAGAAAAAGCUUCUGCGGAAGUCACUGACGGUACCCAAGGAAUCAGCACCGGCUAACUCCGUGCCAGCAGCCGCGGUAAUACGGAGGGUGCAAGCGUUGUCCGGAUUCAUUGGGUUUAAAGGGUGCGCAGGCGGGACAUUAAGUCAGGGGUGAAAGACGGUUGCUCAACAAUCGCAGUGCCUUUGAUACUGGUGUUCUUGGGUGACCUUGAGGUAGGCGGAAUGGGUGGUGUAGCGGUGAAAUG